AGAGUUUGAUCAUGGCUCAGGACGAACGCUGGCGGCGUGCCUAAUACAUGCAAGUCGAACGAACGGAGGAAGAGCUUGCUCUUCCAAAGUUAGUGGCGGACGGGUGAGUAACACGUGGGCAACCUGCCUGUAAGUUGGGGAUAACUCCGGGAAACCGGGGCUAAUACCGAAUGAUAAAGUGUGGCGCAUGCCAUGCUUUUGAAAGAUGGUUUCGGCUAUCGCUUACAGAUGGGCCCGCGGUGCAUUAGCUAGUUGGUAGGGUAAUGGCCUACCAAGGCAACGAUGCAUAGCCGACCUGAGAGGGUGAUCGGCCACACUGGGACUGAGACACGGCCCAGACUCCUACGGGAGGCAGCAGUAGGGAAUCUUCCGCAAUGGACGAAAGUCUGACGGAGCAACGCCGCGUGUAUGAAGAAGGUUUUCGGAUCGUAAAGUACUGUUGUUAGAGAAGAACAAGGAUAAGAGUAACUGCUUGUCCCUUGACGGUAUCUAACCAGAAAGCCACGGCUAACUACGUGCCAGCAGCCGCGGUAAUACGUAGGUGGCAAGCGUUGUCCGGAUUUAUUGGGCGUAAAGCGCGCGCAGGCGGUCUUUUAAGUCUGAUGUGAAAGCCCCCGGCUUAACCGGGGAGGGUCAUUGGAAACUGGAAGACUGGAGUGCAGAAGAGGAGAGUGGAAUUCCACGUGUAGCGGUGAAAUGCGUAGAUAUGUGGGGGAACACCAGUGGCGAAGGCGACUCUCUGGUCUGUAAUGACG
rnacentral:rRNA from 1 species